UACGAGGGGGGCGAGCGUUGUUCGGAAUUAUUGGGCGUAAAGGGUGCGUAGGCGGUUUUGUAAGUCUUAUGUGAAAUCUAUGGGCUCAACUCAUAGACUGCAUGAGAAACUGCAGGGCUUGAGUAUGGGAGAGGUGAGUGGAAUUCCUGGUGUAGCGGUGAAAUGCGUAGAUAUCUGGAGGAACACCGGUGGCGAAGGCGGCAUCCUGGACCAACACUGACGCUGAGGAGCGAAAGCCAGGGGAGCAAACGGG
rnacentral:rRNA from 1 species